ACACACACACACAAAGAUUGAGCAAAUGAGCUCACACCCUACCUCAUCUUGCAGGAAAAGUUAAUGCUUACAUGCUGUUCAGAGUACGUGACACGCAGCUGAACUUCAUGACUGUCUUUAUUUGCUUUUAUUGCCAUAAAACAGAAGAAGCUGGAAUGUAUGUCAUCGGAGGAAGUACAAAUGAUGUAGCUAAAAACCACUGUGGAUUAGCCCCGAAUUUAGAUGUUAGUUUCUAACCACUUGUUAGCGGUACACCAUCACAGCAAUUCUUUAUCUGAACAGGAUCAUUCUAUGCAUAACACACUUCUAAGAUCCCUGUGAAUGCUCCUUUUUCAUGUUCUUUCCUGAAGGGUACGUGUCUGGAGAGUCAUUUAAAACUCCUUUUAACAGAGCGGGGGAAAAAAAAAAAAGUGAGAAAUACCACACCCUGUUAUUCUAGAAGUCUUGUGCUGUUUUUCUUUUGGUUAUGUUUCUCCCUCCUUUCCUGAUAUUUCUUUUCCUGGAAUAUUUUAUGGUGGUACUGGCAUCAGAAUUUGUGUUGUUGGCUGGUCCCAGGAGCAGAUGACAAUUGGUGUAUCCACAUGCCUAUUUAAUGAGAGAAGCAUUGCUGCAACCACCUCAUCUUCCUCAUCUCCCCCUUGAAAGCUAUACCAGUUUGGACUCUGUGCUGGGUCUCACCAGUGCUGGCUGUAUUUCACACAAGAGGACCUUCCUGACAGCACCUUGCAGGAAUUCCUGCUUUCCCAUGUGCAGACAAUAGUUUGAUCAUUGACCUGAGUGCAGGAGAUGGAAGUCAGCUUGUGAAGCUCGCAGGUGUCCUUGCCUUGGAAGUGGUAGCAGCAGCCUUAGAGGGCACAGGAGAAGGAUCCGGAAUGGUCUUGGCAAGCUGGAGAGGGGGUCCAUAAUGAAGAGGCUGAAAUUUCACCGAGAGAAGUGCUGAGUGAAGCACUCAAGAAGGAGAAUUCAAAUGGCUGCGGCAUAUCAAAAAGAGAUCUGGAUGAAUGCUUAGCAUUAUGAUGUGCUUGCACAGAAAAUCAGUCUUAUUUUGGAAAUGUUGUAUGUAAAAUACAAAGGAGAGUUGACCUAGAUUUUUUUUGAAAGGGCUGUGUAUUCAUCACUGGGACAGCCUGAGAGCAGUUCUGCCAGAGGAGGGUAACAGAGCGGCCUUGUUAAAGCCCAGAGGCAAUUGAAAAGGACUGGAGAAAGCGCAGCUAGCUGGUGCACACUGCUGUGCUGAAAUCUAGGGACAGUGAUGCUUCCACGAGUGGCUUAUCUGUUAUGGUUAUGUUUUAAUGCGUCUGCAGACUCUGAGAGUGAAUUAGGAGGAAUAUGAUAGCCCUACCCAGGAAUUAGAAUUGCACUCCUCACUGAACAGCGUGUUCUGCAAUGGCUCAUCCCAUAGAAAGGAGAUGGUGCAG
ensembl:lncRNA